rnacentral:siRNA from 1 species
UGAGUUUCAAAAUUUAGCCUA